rnacentral:tRNA from 1 species
GUUCCCGUAGUGUAGUGGUUAGCACGCAGGAUUUUGACGACUGUCAUCGCGUGCAGUGAAACCUCAGAUUUCCUGAGACGCGAGUUCAAUUCUCGCCGGGAGCU